AAUCAGAAAGCAGCACGACUCAAAUAGAACUCCCGUGAGGUCACACAUGUGAUGUCAUCACCAUUGUCAUUGGUGAGGGGCCUAAACUGUAGGAACCUAGGAAUACACAUUCAUACCCGCCUGUGACUGAUGCACACCUUCCAGGCUGUGGGGCAGCACAUACACUGACACUUUGCCCAAAUUCUAGAGGUAACCUCCUUUAGUAUGCCCAGAGGAAGGGCAGUACAGUAGCCAUGGAUUCCCUACAGGUUUCCUCCCCUCUGGAGGUUUUUCCUGUCCUGAGUUAGUUACUGUCCGCUCUUUGUGAGUGAUGGAGGUUACAUAAAAUCCCUACACAAACAUUUUUGUAAAUAAUAAAUAAAGUUCCCUUUGUUUAAACUGUUCUUUGACUUGUUUGACUCAUUUAUUUUAUUUGUGUGUGUGAAAAAUAGUGUUAUCAAAAUGUGGAUGACAGAAGUGUCCAAAACUGCUGCCCGAUCUGCCCCAUGUGAUGAGCCAAUCAGAAAGCAGCACGACUCAAAUAGAACUCCCGUGAGGUCACACAUGUGAUGUCAUCACCAUUGUCAUUGGUGAGGGGCCUAAACUGUAGGAACCUAGGAAUACACAUUCAUACCCGCCUGUGACUGAUGCACACCUUCCAGGCUGUGGGGCAGCACAUACACUGACACUUUGCCCAAAUUCUAGAGGUAACCUCCUUUAGUAUGCCCAGAGGAAGGGCAGUACAGUAGCCAUGGAUUCCCUACAGGUUUCCUCCCCUCUGGAGGUUUUUCCUGUCCUGAGUUAGUUACUGUCCGCUCUUUGUGAGUGAUGGAGGUUACAUAAAAU